GGGACUAUAGUUAAAAAUAACAUUUGAGUUGCAUUCAAAAAGUACUAUCAUUCAAAUAGUUAGCCUCA
rnacentral:tRNA from 2 species